GACGAACGCUGGCGGCGUGCUUAACACAUGCAAGUCGAACGGAAAGGCCCUGCUUUUGUGGGGUUCUCGAGUGGCGAACGGGUGAGUAACACGUGAGUAACCUGCCCUUGACUUUGGGAUAACUUCAGGAAACUGGGGCUAAUACCUGAUAGGAGCUCCUGCUGCAUGGUGGGGGUUGGAAAGUUUCGGCGGUUGGGGAUGGACUCGCGGCUUAUCAGCUUGUUGGUGGGGUAGUGGCUUACCAAGGCUUUGACGGGUAGCCGGCCUGAGAGGGUGACCGGCCACAUUGGGACUGAGAUACGGCCCAGACUCCUACGGGAGGCAGCAGUGGGGAAUAUUGCACAAUGGGCGGAAGCCUGAUGCAGCAACGCCGCGUGCGGGAUGACGGCCUUCGGGUUGUAAACCGCUUUCGCCUGUGACGAAGCGUGAGUGACGGUAAUGGGUAAAGAAGCACCGGCUAACUACGUG
rnacentral:rRNA from 1 species